rnacentral:lncRNA from 10 species
CCAGGAUUGGACACAGCAGUACUUCCAGGUUUCCGACUGGGCGCGGUGGCUCACGCCUGUAAUCCCAGCACUUUGGGAGGCCGAGGCGGGCGAAUCACGAGGUCAGGAGAUCAAGACCAUCCUGGCCAACAUGGUGAAACCCCAUCUCUUCUAAAAAUACAAAAAUUAGCCGGGCAUGGUGGUGCGUGCCUAUAAUCCCAGCUGCAGCUACUCAGGAGGCUGAGGCAGGAGAAUCACUUUAACUUGGGAGGCGGAGGUUGCAGUGAGCUGAGAUCACACCAUUGCACUCCAGCCUGGGCAACAGAGUGAGACUGUGUCUCAAAAAACAAACAAACAAAAGGCUGUGGGCUGGGCACAGUGACUCACACCUGUAAUCCCAGCACUUUGGGAAGCUGAGGCAGGCAAAUCACCUGAGGUCAGGAGUUCAAGACUAGCCUGACCAAUAUGAUGAAACCCCGUCUCUACUAAAAAUAUAAAACUUAGGCUUGGCGCAGUGGUCCAUGCCUGUAAUCCCAGCACUUUGGGAGGCCAAGGCAGGUGGAUCACCUGAGGUCGGGAGUUCAAGACCAGCCUGACCAACAUGGAGAAACCCCGUCUCUACUAAAAAUACAAAAUUAGCCAGACUUGGUGGCGUAUACCAGUAAUCCCAACUACUCAGGAGGCCAAGGGAGAAGAAUCGCUUGAACCCGGGAGGCGGAGGUUGUGGUGAGCUGAGAUUGCGCCACUGCACUCCAGCCUGGGCAACAAGAACGGAACUCCAUCUCAAAAAGAAAAAAAAAAACAAAAAUUAGCUGGGCAUGGUGACAUACACCUGUAAUCCCAGCUAUUCAGGAGGCUGAGAGAGGAAAAUUGCUUGAACCCGGGAGGCAGAGGUUGCGGUGAGCCGAGAUCACGCCAUUGCCUCCAGCCUGAGCAACAAGAGCGAAACUCUGUCUCAAAAAAAAAAAAAAAAAGAAAAACCAAGCUGUGCCACAACCACCUUGGGCACGUGUCAUCAGGACCUCCUAAGGCUGUGUCAUGUCCUUGACCUUGGCAAAAUAAACUUUCUAAAUUGAUUGAGACCUGUCUCAGAUAUUUUGGGUUCACAUAGGUGUGAGUCACUAAGCCAGACCUAGCUCCACUUUAUACAUGAGGAAAAUGAGGUUCAAUAAUCUGCUCAAGAUUGAGUCAGAAUUUGAACCCAGGCAGGCUGGGCAUAUGAGUUAGUGCUGCACUGUAUAUAAACAGCUCUGUUACAGGAAACUCUUAACCCCACAGACUGAGGUUCCUGUUACUCACUUUGUAGCUAGCUAUACUUAUUUUUCAUAGUACUUAACAUCAUAAUUAAUUAGCUGUGUCAUUAUACAUUUCAUGGCUAUCUUCCCCACAGGAGUCUAAGCUCACUGUAUUCCAGUCCCUGGCACACAAGGGGGGCUUAUUAAAUAUUUAUUAAAUGAAUAUGGCCAAGCGCAGUGGCUCAUAUUUGUAAUCCCAGCACUUUGGGAGGCUGAGGAGGAUGAUCACUUGAGGUCAGGAGUUCGAGACCAGCCUGGGCAAGAUAGUGAAACCACGUCUCUACCAAAAAUACAAAAAUUAGCUGGGCGUGGUGGCACACGCCUGUAAUCCCAGCUACUCUGGAGGCUGAAGCAGGAGAAUCACUUGAACCCGGGAGGUGGAGGUUGCAGUGAGCUGAGAUCAUGCCACUGUACUCCAGCCUGGGUGACAGAGUGAGACUUCAUCUCAAAAAUAAAA